rnacentral:rRNA from 1 species
GACAGAGGGGGCAAGCGUUGUUCGGAAUUACUGGGCGUAAAGGGCGCGUAGGCGGUCUUGUAAGUCUUGUGUGAAAUCCCUCGGCUCAACUGAGGAACUGCACGGGAUACUGCGAGACUUGAGUUCGGGAGAGGGAAGCGGAAUUCCGGGUGUAGCGGUGAAAUGCGUAGAUAUCUGGAGGAACACCGGUGGCGAAGGCGGCAUCCUGGACCGACACUGACGCUGAGGCGCGAAAGCUAGGGUAGCAAACGGG